GAAACAAAUUUAGGACGAACCAAAAUGUAAUCCGAAUUGGGUAAUUCAUAAAACGCAAGAAAAUGAGAAUCUGCGAUCUGGGUAUUGAGAAAAACAGUAGUUUCAGGCGGAACAGGGGACUGAAACAGGGGAGGUGAGAGAGAAAGAAAAAUAGAGAGACAGAGAAGUGAAAGACUUGUACAUCUCUGUAGAUGAAAAAGAUGAUGAUUCUGGU
rnacentral:lncRNA from 1 species